UCUCCAUCCAGCUUACUGGGUUAUAGGCAGGCUGAUCUAUAGUCCUGAAGCAAAGAAGAAGCUGUACACCAAAAGCUGGAAAAGUGGCUUAUAUUUUAAGAGGAAUGCUCCAAACCAGAAGGGUUGAGAAGAGGAUCUGACAAGGGACAACCAGCAGACCCUGUGGGUAGAGAGCGGCAAACUAUCUAUGCAAGAGAACAGAAGUGGAAGCAGUGACCCUGGGAGGUCCUGCUGCUGUCCCAGAUCCCACCCAGGGUAACACAGCCCAUGGAGUACAAAUUAUGUGUAGAGGGCGUUCAUGUGGAAAAUCUGUAUGGUUAAAGCAUUCUGGCAAACCACAGUUCCUGCUGGGUGAGUUAAGAGUCUGUCUUGAAGGAAUGAGGGAUUCAAAACUCCCCAUGCAGACUCACCACAGAGAUGAGAACUUCUACAGUUUCUUACCCCAGAGGCUUCUCAAACUUUGAGGCUCAUCUCAGAUCCUGGUUGAACUAGAUACACAACGGCCAGGCUAAUCUGCUUGUGGUGGAGGGUCCAUUGUUCAGCCUGCCAUCCUUAUCACCCGCUCUCGCCAGAAAAGAAGCCCAGGCUGGAUGCUGGUGACAGCCCUCUUCAAGUGUGGGUCUUGCUGAGACUGUGAGAAGCCUUAUGCUGCAGAAAGCCCCCAGGAAGACGGGAAACAGCCGUGGCUAUGAAUCACCGCAGAAACAAAUGAUUUGCUACGGGUAAAUUUGUGGAAAUGGCAUGGCACUGGAAAGUGUGACAAAGACUUUUAUCCCAGAGCAACAGAAAGCCUCACAGCACUCCCACUUCUCUUUUUCCAUGCCAUCUUGUAUGUUAAUUAUUGCUCUGGGUGUGGAUACUCCAUGUCUGUAAUAAAUCAGUCUAAACAA